AAAACUUUCAACAACGGAUCUCUUGGUUCUGGCAUCGAUGAAGAACGCAGCGAAAUGCGAUAAGUAAUGUGAAUUGCAGAAUUCAGUGAAUCAUCGAAUCUUUGAACGCACAUUGCGCCCCUUGGUAUUCCGAGGGGUAUGCCUGUUCGAGCGUCAUUAC
rnacentral:rRNA from 2 species